rnacentral:misc_RNA from 1 species
GAUGAAGAACGUAGCGAAAUGCGAUAAGUAAUGUGAAUUGCAGAAUUCAGUGAAUCAUCGUAUCUUUGAACGCACAUUGCGCCCCUUGGUAUUCCGAGGGGCAUGCCUGUUCGAGCGUCAUUAUAACCCCUCAAGCUCAGCUUGGUGUUGGGGCCUGCUGCACUGGCAGCCCUUAAAAUCAGUGGCGGCGCCAUCUGGCUCUAAGCGUAGUAAUUCUUCUCGCUAUGGAGUCCUGGUGGAUGCUUGCCAUCAACCCCCAAUUUUUCUAUGGUUGACCUCGGAUCAGGUAGGGAUACCCGCUGAACUUAAGCAUAUCAAUAAGCGGAGGA